ACAUGGAUACAACUUAGAGUUAAUGCACCAAAUCCCAUUAGAAAUCCGUAGUUAAGCGCGCUCGGGCUAGAGUAGUACUGGGAUGGGUGAUCGCCCAGGAAGUCAUAGUAUUUUACAUCUC
rnacentral:rRNA from 1 species